rnacentral:rRNA from 1 species
GAGCUCGUAGGUGGUUUGUCACGUUGUUCGUGAAAUCUCACGGCUUAACUGUGAGCGUGCGGGCGAUACGGGCAGACUUGAGUACUGCAGGGGAGACUGGAAUUCCUGGUGUAGCGGUGGAAUGCGCAGAUAUCAGGAGGAACACCGGUGGCGAAGGCGGGUCUCUGGGCAGUAACUGACGCUGAGGAGCGAAAGCGUGGGGAGCGAACAGGAUUAGAUACCCUGGUAGUCCACGCCGUAAACGGUGGGUACUAGGUGUGGGUUUCCUUCCUUGGGAUCCGUGCCGUAGCUAACGCAUUAAGUACCCCGCCUGGGGAGUACGGCCGCAAGGCUAAAACUCAAAGAAAUUGACGGGGGCCCGCACAAGCGGCGGAGCAUGUGGAUUAAUUCGAUGCAACGCGAAGAACCUUACCUGGGUUUGACAUGCACAGGACGCCGGCAGAGAUGUCGGUUCCCUUGUGGCCUGUGUGCAGGUGGUGCAUGGCUGUCGUCAGCUCGUGUCGUGAGAUGUUGGGUUAAGUCCCGCAACGAGCGCAACCCUUGUCUCAUGUUGCCAGCGGGUAAUGCCGGGGACUCGUGAGAGACUGCCGGGGUCAACUCGGAGGAAGGUGGGGAUGACAUCAAGUCAUCAUGCCCCUUAUGUCCAGGGCUUCACACAUGCUACAAUGGCCGGUACAAAGGGCUGCGAUGCCGCGAGGUUAAGCGAAUCCUUUUAAAGCCGGUCUCAGUUCGGAUAGGGGUCUGCAACUCGACCCCGUGAAGUCGGAGUCGCUAGUAAU